rnacentral:rRNA from 1 species
UACGAAGGGGGCUAGCGUUGCUCGGAAUCACUGGGCGUAAAGGGUGCGUAGGCGGGUCUUUAAGUCAGGGGUGAAAUCCUGGAGCUCAACUCCAGAACUGCCUUUGAUACUGAAGGUCUUGAGUUCGGGAGAGGUGAGUGGAACUGCGAGUGUAGAGGUGAAAUUCGUAGAUAUUCGGAAGAACACCAGUGGCGAAGGCGACUCACUGGACAUGUAUUGACGCUGAGGUACGAAAGCGUGGGGAGCAAACAGG